AGUCAUAUGCUUGUCUCAAAGAUUAAGCCAUGCAUGUCUUAGUAUGAACCAACUUCAUACGGUGAAACUGCGAAUGGCUCAUUAAAUCAGUUAUAAUUUACUCGACCGUACCAAUUACUACUUGGAUAUCCGUGGUAAUUCUAGAGCUAAUACAUGCACAAAAGCCGCGACUUCUGGGAGCGGUGUACUUAUUAGAUAAAAAGCCAGCCCUCUCCCUCGGGGGGGGUCACCUGGUGAUUCAUGGUCAUUGGUCGGAUCGCACGGCCUUGCGCCGGCGACGGGUCGUUCAAGUCUCUGCCCUAUCAACUUUCGAUGGUGUGUUAGGGGCCCACCAUGGUUGUGACGGGUAACGGGGAAUUAGGGUUCGAUUCCGGAGAGGGAGCCUGAGAAACGGCUACCACAUCUAAGGAAGGCAGCAGGCGCGCAAAUUACCCAAUCCCGACUCGGGGAGGUAGUGACAAUAAAUAACAAUCCGGGGCCUCUGGUCCCGGAAUUGGAAUGAGAACAAUUUAAAUCCCUUAACGAGGAACAAUUGGAGGGCAAGUCUGGUGCCAGCAGCCGCGGUAAUUCCAGCUCCAAUAGCGUAUAUUAAAGUUGUUGCAGUUAAAUAGCUCGUAGUUGAAUCCCGGGCCCGCGCUUCUGGCGGGCGGUGCGGCGGCGCGCCGGGGGCAACCCCUCGUGCUGCCGCCACUUCCCGCCGCGGGCCCACCAACCGCUCCCCUUUUCGGCCCCGGCGUUGCCCUCGCGGGCCGCGCCGGACAAAGGCCGGGGGACCUUUACUUUGAAAAAAUUAGAGUGUUCAAAGCAGGCACACGCCGCUCGGAUAGAUUAGCAUGGAAUAACGGAACAGGGCUGCGGUCCUAUUUCGCUGGUUUCUAGGACCGAGGCAAUGGUUAACAGGAACAGUCGGGGGCAUUGGUAUUUGGCAGUCAGAGGUGAAAUUCUUGGAUUUGCCAAAGACCGACUACUGCGAAAGCAUUUGCCAAGGAUGUUUUCAUUGAUCAAGAACGAAAGUUGGGGGAUCGAAGACGAUCAGAUACCGUCGUAGUCUCAACCAUAAACGAUGCCGACCGGGGAUCGGACGCCGUUGUUUUUAGCGACGCGUUCGGCACCCCAAGAGAAAUCGCGAGUCUUUGGGUACCGGGGGGAGUAUGGUCGCAAGGCUGAAACUUGAAGGAAUUGACGGAAGGGCACCACCAGGCGAGGAACUUGCGGCUUAAUUUGACUCAACACGGGGAAACUCACCAGGUCCAGACAUGGCGAGGAUUGACAGACUGAGAGCUCUUUCAUGAUUCUAUGGGUGGUGGUGCAUGGCCGUUCUUGGUUGGUGGAGCGAUUUGUCUGGUUAAUUCCGAUAACGAACGAGACCUUGACCUGCUAAAUAGUCGCGCCCACUCCUGUGGGGUCCGCCCUUCGGGGACACGACUUCUUAGAGGGACUGCGGGCCUCCAGCCCGCGGAAGUUCGAGGCAAUAACAGGUCUGUGAUGCCCUUAGAUGUUCUGGGCCGCACGCGUGUUACACUGACGGAGGCAGCGAGUGGAAACCUGGUUUCCCUGGGCCGGCAGGCCCGGGUAAUCUUGUGAGACUCCGUCGUGCUGGGGAUAGACCCUUGCAAUUAUUGGUCUUCAACGAGGAUUGCCUAGUAGGCGCAGGUCAUCAGCCUGCGCCGAUUACGUCCCUGCCCUUUGUACACACCGCCCGUCGCUACUACCGAUUGAAUGGCUUGGUGAGGCCUCCGGAUCGGCCCUCCUGGGUGCGGCAACGUGCCCGGGGGUCGAGAAGCUGGCCAAACUUGGUCAUUUAGAGGAAGUAAAAGUCGUAACAAGGUAACCGUA
rnacentral:rRNA from 1 species